CAGGCUAGCUGCUCCAUCCUGCAUCCUGCCACCCUGCCCCAUCCUACCACCCGUCUCCUCCCGCUGCUCCUCCCCUGGGCUGUGUCACCUUCUGCCGCUCUACCCAGGUCCUACUACUACCUUCUUCUUUAUUCUACUCAUUUUACCCUUUACCCAAUUAUUCAUUUUUUCAGCCAUAAUUUCUUCAUUGUUUACUGGGUCCCAUGCUAGGCUUACAGUCAGUGCAAAGAGGCAAGUCUUACAAUAAAAGAAGUUGGAAGACAGCACAAGACAUGUCAACAAUCAGUGGAUGACAGGUGAAAUCACGCACUGGGUGAGCGCUUCCUUCUUGAGGAACACAUGGGAUGUGGAAGCUGAGUGUUUAGACAGCCAACGUGGAUUAGCCCUGCUUUCAAGUGUUGCUCAGAACCAGGCAUUACAGCAUCCAACCCCCCAGGGAUCAUGUUCAUAUACAGACUGCGAUCCAGUGGGGAACGCCUGAAAGUCUGCCUUUCUCACACGCAUCUGCUGCUGGUGGUCUACAGACCACACGGUGAGGAACAGUGGCAUGGUUGGUGGUAGGAUUGCAAAUCUGCACAUAUGCAGCCACCAAAAAGAAAAGAAAAAAGAGGCGCCAAGAACUGUGUGUGGAGAGCCGAGAGCACUGAAGCCUGGGCUUCUCACCUGGAUUCCUUAGCAGCUCUGGGAACUCCAGCCUUUGAAUGUUUUCUGGCCUCAGCCCGCGUCUCAGAAGCGCUGGCCAGUUCUCUCUAGUCUGCCUCUGGCUACAGCCUAUCUAGCCUGGGCCAGACUGGGGCUAAGUGACAAGGGACAGGUGCAGAGUUACAGGCAUGCUCAGAAAUUCCACUGGUGCCUGCGACAGCCAGGCAAAGCCUGGGGAGCAUCCAUGCUCCCCUUCAGACCUCAGCCCGCCAGCAGUGGCCCAGCUUUCCCUGCAGCCGUCACUUGAGCGGCUUCCAGGCAAGUGAUGGUGAUGACAUGUCGCUCCCCAGAGAUCCUCCAUUGCUCUCUGGGAUGUAAGAAUGUCCAUAGACACGGAGCCAGACAACCCAGAAAGGCAAGUUAUUUCUGCUAAUUAGUAUCUACAUACGUGCAAAAAUGGUCGCAAAGCUGCAGAACCCCUGGCACUUCACCAGUCGCUGAAGCCACGCUCUGCAGUGUUGUAGCUUUGUUCCAAGUGCUCGUGACAUCCUUUCUUCAUCCAACCCUCCGCACAGCCACAGGGUUCUCAUAGCAUCCUCUCCUCACAGCGUCUCAGUGCAUGUGAGGUCGCUGUUGGUUUUCCUUCCAGGAAGAAGCAGUACAAGGCUAUCAGGGUCCCUGCAGGUGAUCGCUUCACUUUGUUUAAGGAGACUUCAAGGAUGGGUUGGCACAUAGACUCACAAAAGAGUACUGUGUGGGAAGAUGCACAUGUUGACAAACGGGGCAGAUUUUGAGCAUACAAGUGAGGUCAUGUGAUGGGCUUACGGAUGUGGCUGGACUUCUAAGGAGGCUCGCCACACACCAGGUGUGUCUUAUUUGACCUUUCAGCUGUGUCUAUUCUGAUUGGGUGUCGGGGGAGGGGGGGGACUAACACGCUGUCAGCUGCCCAGCCUUGAAUUAUAUUUUGUCACAUCCACCUGUGACUAUGGCUUCUGGAGGUCAAAGCUUCUGCCUAUAAUUACUGAGGACUAAUACAGUCUUGAGACUCAGGGGUCCCUCUGUGUCUGUUCCUGCUAGGGUACCAAACACAGCUUCAUUAAAGGCCAGUUCAUAUGGUGCCAGCUAAACCCUGGCCAGCCCUGCCCAGUGCCUCUUAGGAGUUCUUUGGCUGUUCUAUUUGACACUGAUUCUGGAGACUUGACGAAGCUCCCACCCCCUCAGGCUCUUGAAGUGCUCUCCCAGGUAGACCAGUUGGCCAAGGACAUGCCUCAAAGGAGAAGCAAGCCCUCAUGGUCUAGGGAGGGGGCAUCUUCUGAUGUUCCAUGGUUGGGCUGUAGUAGAUACAAGUAUCGUUUUUCACCCAAAGACAUUUCUCUUUAUACUUUGCUCUUAAAUUUUUUCCAUAUAGGUGUAUGAAUGUUUUACUUGCAUAUAUAUCUAUGUAUCACAUGCAUGCCUGGUACACAAGGAGGUCGGACAAAGGCACCAGAUUCCCUGCAACUGGAGUUAAAAACAGUUGUAAGUCACUCUGUGGGUGCUGGGAAUUGAGCCUGGGUCCUCUGUAAGAGCAGAAGUGCCCUUAGCUGCAGAGCUAUCUCUCCAGCCCGCCCCUCUUUGGUUUCUUUUGUCCUCCUUCUAGUGUCCAAUAGGAUGUGUUCCCUCUGACCAUAUCCCUACCUCCCCGAGCAUGAUGCCAUCUCCUUCCUUCAUUUGCUCUUCAGUAUCUCUUGUUGUGUCCUUCCAGGCAGCAGGGUAGGGCAGUUGGUGCACAGGCUUUGGGUUGACUGUUUGGGCUCAGAUCCUAGCCCUGUCACUGAGGAGUUGCACGUCCUUGCUGUAUCCUUAUUUCAUACUUUCUGAGCCCAGUUUCAUCCUCUGUAAGUGGGAGAGAGCAGAAAACAUUUCUACAUUGCUAUCAGGAUUAAAAGAGACAGCUCAUGAGCUCAGUAACUACUCCUUAUCAGUAACUACGAUAGCAGCUCCAGUUAAGGCCAUACUGUAUGCUGCCUGUAGCAAUAGAGCCAGGGGGACUUGCUGAUGGGGUUGAAGACCGAGGCCCCUAGCUGAUGAGUGGGGUAAUGCAUUGACUAUUGACUGGGUGCCAGGCCCUGACUUAGAGGCUCCAUCUCAUCACUUCAGGUGCUGUGAACUCAGAGUUAAUAGAAUGUGGAAAUAGAACUUGUUGUGAGGUAACUUGAAAUGAAGGAUAAGCGGAAAUCCAUGGGGUUUGAUUUCUUUGUUUUCUCUUAGCUAGCAGAUACGAGGACCGUGAGAUGAACUGCGGAAAGACAAACGCAUGCUAUCUCCUGGGGAAAACCUGAUCCUCAGGCGGGCCGUGGUGCUGGCCUGAACUCUUCCAUAGGGACCCAAGCAACUCACUCACAGGCAUGAGGUCAAGAUCAAGAAAAGGAAGCAGUCUCAGAGAGCCCAAGAGCUUUGCUGAAGAUCACACAGCUAGAGAGGGAGCCGCUAGACCUAACUCAAGCUUUCUGAUACCUGCUCCUGUGUUCUGUACAUUCUUCUCUCGGGGGAGAGUGGCAGGUGCUCUGUGCUCACAGAGCUGGGUGCCACGUGAGAGCAGAAGGGAGAGUUGUACACCUUGGGCUAGCCUCAGCUAGUUAAAAACUGCCUUUCAGAACCCAGAGAUUCUCCCUGAAGCUCUUCAUGGUCGGGCAAUUGCCUCUUGAUCCUUAGAACCAGACCUGCUGGGCCUUUGAACAUCUGCAGGCUGGGAAGGGGUCUGCGAUGCCUAUUCCAGCUGUCUCCAGGCUCCUGCCCCAGAAGCUGCAGACAAGCCAAUUAGAGGUCUCCAGAGAGGCCAGACCCUAGGCUUGUUAGAAGAGGACCGCCUGGGCUUGGGUCCGAAGAUUCCAGUCUCUUCUGGAAGCUGACAGAGCUUUUGCUCAGCCUCCUGCCUUGAUCGCUCUUUCUCGCCAGUAGACUUCUACUUCCUGGGACUGAAGUUGUUGAUAUAUCCCAGGCCCUCUUCCCCAGGCCCCUUUCCCUUGCACCCUGGCUUUGAGGUCCAGCUGACUACUCUGUUCUCCAGCCUGGCUGUCCCAAUAGCCAAGAAGUAGCUGCGGUUAUCAGGAGGCGCCGCUGUUCCUUGAAGCUUGGGAAAAUACCCUGCUCUUGACCUUGACCCCUGAGUGAAGAAGAAUGUUGAGGCUAGGGCUUGAAUAGGGUCUGCUGACCUGGCAGGCUGCCUGUCUAUGCCUUGGGGUGAGUGGUGGGGACAGGCGGGGUGGAGGAGAUCAGCGAUUCUCCCAGCACAGAACUUCAGGGGGUAACACCUCAUCCUGGUGUCUCCCCACCCCUUCCCCACUCGGUGCCACAGCUUUGGGGUUGUGGAGACUGUUCUUGUCAUUCAUGAACUGCUAAGAUGAGCCAUGUCCUGGGAACUCGUCCCGAUAUCACAUUGUCUCUGACAAGGCUGGUGAGCUGCCCAGAGUUAACUGAGCAACACUGGAGGUGAACCGCUGGUGAAGUUCAGGAAUCUUGUCUUAAAAAUGGCAAGCGUGGACUGGAAAGCUAGCGCCAACAGUUAAAAGGCAGCCGUUAUUCUCGCAGAGAAUCCAGAUUCAAUUUCCAGCGUCUGCAGGGUGGCUCACAACCACCUGUGACUCCAGUUUCAGGGAUCCAGCCCCCAUUUCUGACCCCCUUGGACACCAGGCAUAUAUGCGGUACACAAGCAUGCGUGCAGACAAAACAAUUAUAAGCAUAAAAUAAAAUAAAUGUCUGAAAAUAAAUUUAAUGGCUAACAGGGCUGGCUGGGACAGUGGCUUUUAGUUUUUCUUGGUUUGGUUAUUCUUGAGACAGUCUUGGUCUAUAGUUCAGGUUGUUCUCAAACUUGUUAUCUCCUGCCUUAGCAGCCCAAGCAGGUCCCUCACACAAGGUCUAG